rnacentral:rRNA from 1 species
UAGGGAAUCUUCGGCAAUGGGGGGAACCCUGACCGAGCAACGCCGCGUGAGUGAAGAAGGUUUUCGGAUCGUAAAGCUCUGUUGUUAAGGAAGAACGAGUGUGAGAAUGGAAAGUUCAUGCUGUGACGGUACUUAACCAGAAAGGGACGGCUAACUACGUUCCAGCAGCCGCGGUAAUACGUAGGUCCCGAGCGUUGUCCGGAUUUAUUGGGCGUAAAGCGAGCGCAGGCGGUUAGAAAAGUCUGAAGUGAAAGGCAGUGGCUCAACCAUUGUAGGCUUUGGAAACUGUUUAACUUGAGUGCAGAAGGGGAGAGUGGAAGUCCAUGUGUAGCGGUGAAAUGCGUAGAUAUAUGGAGGAACACCGGUGGCGAAAGCGGCUCUCUGGUCUGUAACUGACGCUGAGGCUCGAAAGCGUGGGGAGCGAACAGG